rnacentral:rRNA from 1 species
AAUCCUGGCUCAGGACGAACGCUGGCGGCGCGCCUAACACAUGCAAGUCGAACGAGAGAUGAGGAGCUUGCUCUUCAAAUCGAGUGGCGAACGGGUGAGUAACGCGUGAGGAACCUGCCUCAAAGAGGGGGACAACAGUUGGAAACGACUGCUAAUACCGCAUAAGCCCACGGCUCGGCAUCGAGCAGGGGGAAAAGGAGCAAUCCGCUUUGAGAUGGCCUCGCGUCCGAUUAGCUAGUUGG